UUUUUAAUUUAAAAAAAUUUAUAAAAUCUGAACCUAUUUUAAAUUCAUGUAUAAAAAAAAAAUUUAUUUAAAUACUUUGUAAUAAAGGGAAUUAAAAUUUAAAUUAAAAU
rnacentral:rRNA from 1 species